CCAUAGCAGCCGUGCAUCAAGAAAGAAAAAGAACCAAAAAGCUCUUCCAAUUUCUUCUUCAUUUCUUCAUCAAAUCUUCCACCAAAUCACACCAAAAUUUAACCACACUUAGCUAAACACUUGGAGAUCAUUUUAAGCUGCAAAAAGGGGGAGCUUUUCACGGUUUUUCUUGGCCAAGAGGGGACCAAAAAAUUCUGUCUUUGUUCAUCACACAAGUAGGUAACGAUCCGACCUUCGAAUUUUGGUUUAUGGAAGUAGAAUUACACGUAUAAAGUCUUGCAUGCAUGUGGGUAGUCUUGUUUAUGAUGAAUUGUUGUUUGGUGGGCUCUAUGAACUCCCACUUUUGAUGGAAGGACUGAUUUGAUGAUUGAUGAUGAAAAUAAUGUUGGUUUAGUGCUUAUAUUGGUGGAUUAAUGUUGGGUUGUUGAUAGAAACUCAUGGAUGGUGCAAUGACCAAAAGUGACCAUUUUACCCCUGGUUUGUUCGACCACUUUUGUGCAAAAUUUUGAGGUUCUAAUGGUUUUUUUAUGUUGUUUACAUGUUAUAUUGGUUGUGUAAAAAGUUUCAUUGAAAAAUAACAUGAUUUGAUCACCCAAAUGUCGGAAAUU
rnacentral:lncRNA from 1 species